AGCAGCCGCGGUAAUUCCAGCUCCAAUAGCGUAUAUUAAAGUUGUUGCAGUUAAAAAGCUCGUAGUUGAAUUUCGGGGUUAGUAGGUCGGUCAUGCCACUGGUAUGUACUGGUCUCACUGAUUCCUCCUUCCUGAUGAACCGUAAUGCCAUUAAUUUGGUGUUGCGGGGAGACUGGACUGUUACUUUGAAAAAUUAGAGUGUUUAAAGCAGGCUAACGCUUGAAUACAUUAGCAUGGAAUAAUGAAAUAGGACGUUCGAUCCUAUUUUGUUGGUUUCUAGGAUUGACGUAAUGAUUAAUAGGGAUAGUUGGGGGGCAUUAGUAUUCAAUUGUCAGAGGUGAAAUUCUUGGAUUUAUUGAAGACUAACUACUGCGAAAGCAUUUGCCAAGGAUGUUUUCAUUAAUCAAGAACGAAAGUUAGGGGAUCGAAGACGAUCUGAUACCGUCGUAGUCUUAACCAUAAACUAUGCCGACUAGGGAUCGGAUGAUGUUAAUUUUUAAUGUACUCAUUCGGCGCCUUA
rnacentral:rRNA from 1 species